rnacentral:rRNA from 1 species
ACGCUGGCGGCGUGCCUAACACAUGCAAGUCGAACGAGGUCCAUGCAGUGGCAACACUGCGGAAGACCUAGUGGCGAACGGGUGAGUAACACGUGAGGAACCUGCCCCGAAGACCGGGAUAACCCUCCGAAAGGAGAGCUAAUACCGGAUACCCCCACCUGGUCGCAUGGCCGGGUGAGGAAAUGGAUUCCGCUUCGGGAGGGCCUCGCGGCCUAUCAGCUAGUUGGUGAGGUAACGGCUCUCCAAGGCAUCGACGGGUAGCUGGUCUGAGAGGACGAUCAGCCACACUGGGACUGAGACACGGCCCAGACUCCUACGGGAGGCAGCAGUGGGGAAUCUUGCGCAAUGGGCGAAAGCCUGACGCAGCAACGCCGCGUGGGGGAUGAAGGCUCUCGGGUUGUAAACCCCUUUCAGCAGGGACGAAAUUGACGGUACCUGCAGAAGAAGCCCCGGCUAACUACGUGCCAGCAGCCGCGG